rnacentral:misc_RNA from 1 species
CAGAGCUUCGAAGCCUGGAGGGUUUACUCUUCAGGCGAGAACUCCACCCUUUGUUUACAUUACCUUUGUUGCUUUAGCAGGCCCGCUCUCGGGCCGCCGGCAAUAGCUGGUCAGUGCCUGCUAGAGGACCUAAAACUCAUGUUAAUAAAGUUGUCUGAGUACUAUAUAAUAGUUA